rnacentral:rRNA from 1 species
AUGGAGAUCCUCCUCUGGGCAAUGGCAGAGGCGCUGGAGUCGUCGGAUCCUCGACAUCGAGCUUGCUGGUACGAGUACCGCUCUCGCCUCUCGUUGCAGAAUCCAGAGACGGAAGGGCCUGUGAACUUACGUAUUAUCGACGUUGUCAAUGAGGAAUCACAGGAGGAGGAUUCAGAUGAUGAGGAGGAGGAGGAAGGAGUUUCUGGGGAGGAGGAUGAGGAAGAAGUUUCUCACGAGGAGGAGGAGGAAGAGGAAGAAGUUUCUGAAGAGGAGGAGGAGGAAGAGGAUUCUGAUGAGGAGCAGGAGCAGGAGGAGGAUGCAGAAGACGUGGGCUGUCAGGGAGUUAUGGAGAUCAUCGCUCAUCCUUCAUAA